rnacentral:misc_RNA from 1 species
GUAGGUGAACCUGCGGAAGGAUCAUUAACACGUAUCCAACGUUAAACCCCCCUGUGAACUUUCAGCCUGCUCUUGUGGCUUGUAGGGUUAAGCAGCAAUCUCGGUAAAUCAAGUGGGAGAAACAGUUCUGAUUCGAGACCUCUGCACCCUAUGGGUUAUGAUUGAAGCGGUAGAAGCAGUGGCAUGGCGUCCCAAGCCUCCAGUGAAUGACAGCGUCACUGGAACAAGUGAGGGAUAACGCUUAUUCGGU